rnacentral:rRNA from 1 species
CUCUUGACAUCCAGAGAACUUGGCAGAGAUGCCUCGGUGCCUUCGGGAACUCUGAGACAGGUGCUGCAUGGCUGUCGUCAGCUCGUGUUGUGUAAAUGUUCGGGUUAAGUCCCGCAACGAGCGCAACCCCUAUCCUUGUUGCCAGCGAUUCGGUCGGGAACUCAAAGGAGACUGCCGGUGAUAAACCGGAGGAAGGUGGGGAUGACGUCAAGUCAUCAUGGCCCUUACGAGUAGGGCUACACACGUGCUACAAUGGCGUAUACAAAGAGAAGCGACCUCGCGAGAGCAAGCGGACCUCAUAAAGUACGUCGUAGUCCGGAUUGGAGUCUGCAACUCGACUCCAUGAAGUCGGAAUCGCUAGUAAUCGUAGAUCAGAAUGCUACGGUGAAUACGUUCCCGGGCCUUGUACACACCGCCCGUCACACCAUGGGAGUGGGUUGCAAAAGAAGUAGAUAGCUUAACCUUCGGGAGGGCGUUUACCACUUUGUGAUUCAUGACUGGGGUGAAGUCGUAACAAGGUAAGCGUACGUGU